AUAAAUUCAUCUGGUUUUUCAGUAUCCGGGAUGACAGUGUCGUCAAUAGCUACGUCGACUGCGAAUGGUCCCGAACUGACAUUUUGAGGUCCCACACGCUCGAUAUACCAGACGACUCUGAUCUCAUAAUAGGAUACUUAUUCACGGGAGACCUUGAGCAACUGUCAAUCGUGCCCGAUCCAGCUCUAGUAAGUCUACAAUGCGAUACUUUGAAAAUACCAAUAAUAGACCCACAAGUAGAUGCAUCUAUAGACAACCUCCAAAAAGAAACAGGAAAACACAUUGUAAUGAAAAUACAUGAAGAAGUACAAAAAAACGAUAUUGACUAGAUAUAUAAAAGUUGGUUAGAAAACAUAGUUUGUCGCGCAUUUUUCGAAAAAUUUGAAAGGGGAAUAUUACUGCGAUGAAAAUUAUAUAAGAUAUUUUUCCAAAUUGACAUUAUGCGUUCGACAAAACUUUAUAUUUGAAGAAAAUUUGAAUUUAUAUUGAAUAUUUUUGUAAUUCAUUGUGUUUCGAUGACUUUUCUCAUGAAUCCUAAUCAAAAGAUCAUUAGUCUUCAUAUAAUAUAAUAAUAUGCAAGUAUCUGUACUUCACAAUUGAAAUCAAGUACUUUUUUGUAUGCUGUACCUGGGUGACAAUAGGAACAUAGGCACUCGUUAAUCGUUACACUAUUUUUUAAUUUAUCCACAGUAGCAAAAACUGACAAUAAUAUUAUGUUCUGUGCUGGCCACUUCGAAGAGUAUUGUAAUAUCUACUUAUAAUCAAACAUGUAUAUAGUUGAGCUCUCAUUUAUUAAACGAAAUUAUAAACAAU